AUCUUUUCAACUCUUAACUUUUAAUUUUGUGCAUAGGAUUAGUCUUUUCAUCUCCUCCCCAUUUCUUUAAUUUCAAAAUAUCUCCCUCCUUUCAAAAACUUCUUUGUUUGAACCUGUUAUUUUCUAAAUUUUGACCACUUUCCAAACUAGAAACUUUGGCCUUAUGCCAUUGCAUUUUCAAACUUCUUGUCUUAAUCAAACUUGUAAAUAGACUUAACUAUACUUGACCUAAACUUUCAAAAGCCAAAAAAAG
rnacentral:lncRNA from 1 species